rnacentral:rRNA from 1 species
CUUAACACAUGCAAGUCGAACGGUAAGGCCCUUUCGGGGGUACACGAGUGGCGAACGGGUGAGUAACACGUGGGUAAUCUGCCCUGCACUUCGGGAUAAGCCUGGGAAACCGGGUCUAAUACCGGAUAUGAGCUCCUGCCGCAUGGUGGGGGUUGGAAAGUUUUUCGGUGCAGGAUGAGUCCGCGGCCUAUCAGCUUGUUGGUGGGGUAAUGGCCUACCAAGGCGACGACGGGUAGCCGGCCUGAGAGGGUGAUCGGCCACACUGGGACUGAGACACGGCCCAGACUCCUACGGGAGGCAGCAGUGGGGAAUAUUGCACAAUGGGCGAAAGCCUGAUGCAGCGACGCCGCGUGGGGGAUGACGGUCUUCGGAUUGUAAACUCCUUUCAGUAGGGACGAAGCGAAAG